GUGUCUCCAGAGAUCAUUGCUCUGCACCCCACAGACAGCCCAACCUGCUUAGAGCACUGUGAGGUCACCACUGCUGGGAUCACUGCUCCAAGCUCUCCAGGAGGAAGCUCAAGCUUGUUGCAUUCAUAGUAUCCAGUUUCAGGCAGGAUAGUGCUGUGUCACUCCACACAGUGCCAAGAAAGAUAUGCUUUGGCCCAUAAAAGCUGGAAGAGUGGUUUCUCACACAUGUGAGGUUAGCAUUGUGGCUGAAAGAGAUCUCCGUCCACCCCAGCUGCAUCAGAGCCCAUGGAUGGUGUUGACAAAAGGAUGUUCUGUGGAACUCAGAAUAUGCAGAUUACAGCUGUGUCAUCCAUCUACAGAGAUCCAAGAAUGACUUGAGAACAUAACUAUGUGUUUGCCAUGAGUAAAGUCAGUAUUUAAAGUA